rnacentral:lncRNA from 1 species
ACUCAAGAGACUGAGGCAAGGAGGAUCUUGGGCAGACCUGGGCUACAUGAGACUCCCCAAGCCAGGAGCAACAAAACACAAGAAAGACCAAGUCUAAACAAAACAAAAGCAAGGUCAUUACCACUUUCAAAAAGUACAAUGGUUUAGACUAAAACAUCUAUACUACAAAGAGAAGUCUCCCAAUAUAUGCAAGAGCAAUGGUGCCAAUUAUAUGACUUAUGGAAUCCUUCAUCUGAAUUUAUUUUUCUCAUUUUUUAAGCAGGUUAAACAUGAAAGGCUAUGGAAGAAAAUGUUAACAAACAUCAAUGAUAUAUUUAAUGGGAAGAAAAAAUUUUAGUCUCCCUGAAAGACUUCCAAGCCAAAAAUAAUGUAGGCUAAUGUAGACCACAAAUUCACUAUCAUAUCCUGGCUUUAUACCUUAGCCCAAGCACUAAAAAAAUUUAGCAUUAUUGGAGAGAUGGCUCAGGGGUUAAGAGCACCAAAUGUUCUUCCAGAGGUUCUGAGUUCAAUUCCUGGCAACCACGUGGUGGUUCACAACCAUCUGUACUGGGACCUGAUGCCCCCUUCUGGCAUUCAGGCAUACAUGCAGAUAGAGCACUA